UACGGGGGGGGCAAGCGUUGUUCGGAAUUACUGGGCGUAAAGGGCUCGUAGGCGGCCAACUAAGUCAGACGUGAAAUCCCUCGGCUUAACCGGGGAACUGCGUCUGAUACUGGAUGGCUUGAGUUUGGGAGAGGGAUGCGGAAUUCCAGGUGUAGCGGUGAAAUGCGUAGAUAUCUGGAGGAACACCGGUGGCGAAGGCGGCAUCCUGGACCAACACUGACGCUGAGGAGCGAAAGCCAGGGGAGCAAACGGGG
rnacentral:rRNA from 1 species